UGCCUCCGGUGGAAUACUGUCAUGCGGACCGGUCUUGUUCUUCUGCUGUGCUUCCUGGGAGCGGUGCUGAUUUCAUCGGUGAUCUGCACCAAUUCCAUUGGACCUGAUGAAUGUUGCUUCAGAUUCUACAGCAGAAGAGUUCAAAGAAGCAAAUCAGAACGUAUCAUGUAACCGAUCAUCGGUUGCCCCAAGGCUGGAAUCAUUUUGGUGACCGAAAGGUAUCGUCACAUCUGUGCAGAUCCAAAUCUUUCCUCUGUUCAAGACAUCAUGAGAUACCUGGAUGAGAGAUAUCUUUAAGAUGAAUCCUUUUAUUGCUGCAGCUUAUGGUGCUUUAUGACAUCACAAAUAGCAAUGCAUAAUGUAGUUUUGUAUGCUGCAUUGCUUUUGAUAACUUGUAAACAUGCCAGAAUAAUGAAUUGUCUGUACAUCUCAAAGUAUUUCUUUUUUUUGUGCAACAGUUCACACUUUCAUAAUUUACUUUUCUUUUGAAUGUUUUCAUUUCCCGUAAAAAAGUGUUAAAAUAUUUUUGGACAAUCGAACUUUGUAAGAGACAUUAUGUUAUGUUUGCUACUUUGUUGAAACGAUUUAAAAUUUUUUUUUUUUUUUUGCCUAUUUUACUGUCAUGGAGUGUUUAAUUAUUAUUACUAUUAGUCAUAAGAUCAAUAGAAUGUCAGAUUGACAUGUCUAAAUAUCCCGAUUCACACAGUUUCCAGUUUUCUUGAAGCUAAACAGAAUAAUUUUCCAAAUGGCAAAAAAUAAAUAAAAAUUUUGUUGUACUGCCUGAUACACCUAAUAACAUGAAUAAAAACAGAUUACAUACAACUUGAGUUAGGGAUUGCAGGAUAUCACAGAAAAUGUAUUUAAACAUAAAAAACAAUGGUUAAAACAACGAUGUUGAUUGACAGUGUUCAAGCAGAAAACGUAUACGGAGUGAAUGUGAUUUUUUUUAAUUUUAUUUUUUGUAUAUUAGACUAUAGUCUCAAAUACUGUUCAGUGUGGGAUGUUUUAAAAAAAGACUUUACAGGUUAAAUAGAAACUACAACAACCUCACAAUAAAAGUCUAUCAGGUGUACAGAAAAUAAAUUGGUGGAGUUCACUCUUCACCAGACAAAUGUUUACAUACACUUUGGUUAAAACCAUUACAUUCUUUCCGCCUACACAUGUUCCAUUUAAACAAUACGUGCCCCCUAGAAUGUCUAUUUCUAGUAUUAAGUCAUUCAAAAAAUGGUUGCCAAAGAUUCAUUUUUUUUAUUUAAAUUAUAUCAGUAGGUCAACAGUUUACAUAUGCAGAGAUGAACACUCAGAACUGUAUACAAAGUUUGAGAAACUAAUCUGGCAAUAUUUUUGAAUAAGCUAGAAGGUCCUAAGCUGCAGUAAAUUUUGGAAUUAAUUGAUGAACUUUGACAUGAAAUUACAGAGGCCUAACUGAAAAAUCACACUAUCUUUCAGCCACGGCUUCUGAAACCACAUGUUUAGAUCUCUUCAAAGUCAAGUUCCCUCCAUAGCGCCAUCUAGACAAAAGAUUUCAUUGGGCACAAGGGGUUAUCUAUCAUCAAAGAAGACUAUAACGAAGCUUUGAGUCGAUACAGACUGACAUUUGACUAAUGUUUGCACAAAUUCAGGAAAUUUAUUGUGAAGGUCCACCAGAUCCCCCUGUGUUAAUCUCAAGGGUGCCAUUCUUGACAUUGAUGGAAUGUGAUUGUACCUUAUCAACAUAACCCAAAGGCAUAUUUCAGGGAGGAAAAAAAACGAGGCAUGCAUAUUAUGGUGUGCACAGUGAAGGACAAAUUGUCUUAUCUGUGGCUGAUCCAGAGUUGACAGAGAGAAAUAAAUAUUUAAUGAGGCCACUUUUUUAAGUCCGUUCAAAAUGUUACUCUGUGUUCAAAAGAUGUCAGACAUUUGAUAGUUUCUGUGCAGCAUAUGGGUCUGUUAUGAAAAACUGCCAUGUGCACAAAGAGAACUGAGAUAUAAAAUAACACCCUGCAUGCUAGACAUUAAUACUGAUGAUGUGGAUAAUAAAAAACACAGAAAUACAUGUACUGAUCAGUGCAUAGAUUUUUUUUUUUUUGCUCAGUGACGAAUGUGCACAAAGCCAGCAUGUGCUGCCAAAAUUAUUUGGAUAUUAUCUCAUGCUCACAAAUUAAUCAAGCCAUGGGAAUGAUUUAUGCACCAAUGCACACAUAAUACAUUUCAGGUGCUAUGAUCUCUGCCUGUAUAUGGCAUCUCCAGCUCUCCUUGGACACUUCACAUGUGCACCGUGGAAUUUUUAUUUAUUUAUUUUAAGUUGCUCACCUGCACUUAUUGGCAUUUUAACAGCGAAAACAUACCACACAACACACAAUAUCUAUAUCUCAACAACUAAGCUGGAUGGAUGAGCUGGAGCAUUUAUUGAUCAGCAAAAUAUGAUUGAUCUGCAUGAAUAACUUCAUGAAUGACGUCACACAGAAGUCAUAUGAUGAAGUCCUAUAGUCAAAAACCCAUUGCAGAUAUAAGGCAUGUAUAUUACUUGUACUUUUAUAUUGUGUGUAGAACGUACAGGGUAUGUACCAACCCUCGGAUGCUCGUCAUUCCUAAACAGUUAAUGCAAUAUUUUGUUGACCCCUUCAAUUAAAACUGAAAUUCUACACUUAAAUUACAUCUUAAAAUUGCUUUAAUGUAUCAAGUGAAAAUCAGUGUAUGCUCAGAUAUUGCAAAAGUAUACAUAGGAUGUGCAUGUAGAUAAGGCACCUUUAGAAAUGGGAGAUCUUAUAAAAAAAAGUGUGAGAUUAAAAUAGCUAAUUGGAACAUCCGUUCGGUUUGUGGUUAAAGAGUAAAAUGUCACACACACUCCAGCCUGUUUAAGUUCUUUGAGGUGUUGUGUUAAUUGUGCAACCUCUUUAAUCCCUCAGUGUCUACUUUCCCGCGGUUCUUUACCAACAUAUUGUGUAAAUAUACUUUGAUUACCCGAGUGGUCGUGGUUUGCUGAACUUUUGUGGAUCAUCUUUUCAAUUUAUGAGCCUUUCCCAGGUAAGAGACCAUAACUCGUGUUUUUUCUGUGGUCCUUGCUACCAAUAUGGGCUAUUAGUCUAAACAUAUUAUGGCUAUUGUUUGUUUGCAGUAUCGAUACAGAGAAGAAGUCUUGAUAUCGCUGAUGAGAUGGUGUUGGAGAGUUCUGCAUUCAGCUUCCAUCUGAAAUAAAUUGGACAUCAACUUUCCAUUCCACGCCGGUGAACAACACCUUGAAUAAAGUCCACAACGCAAACACAACUUCAGAAGCUAACGAAGUCAGCAACCUCACACUGCACACAACUCUAGUGCAGCAGAUGAUGAACAAAAGUCAAAAGGACUGUUGGUGUAAUGACACUGUUCAGCAAAAAAGACUGCUGAUUUUUCAGAUUUUACUGAUAGAAUCAAACCUCCUGCAAUGGGAUGUAAACCGCAGAUAAUCAUGACCUUUACCCACAUGUCACUGUGUGGUGAUGAGAAACACUACUAUUCUGCCAUUGGACCACUCACUGUAAAGUGGAUGAGAUCUCCACAGCUAUGCUGGUCCCAGGCCGGAGGCUGCAGGUGAUGUCCGUUCUGCUCCGGAGCUGAGUACCCCAGUCAUCGUCACGGCACUCAGCCGAUCUCUACCAGCAUCUGGAGGCUUCCAUCAACCAUCCGACAGAAGCUUCUGCCAAAAAUACAGACACGGCGAUAUUAAGAAGCGUUCCCACGGUGCAUUGCUGCCGUAGUGUUUAUCAAGGCAUACAUUUGGGAUGAUUGUUGGAUACAAAAUUCAAUGAAAAAACUCUGACUGCUAAUUGAUGCUGUUAUACUAUUCACACGUCGUGGCCAAAAGCGUGUGUGUUCAUCCAAAAGCUCACUGGGUUCGUGCCACACUGGACUCGUAUUCAAAAAAGACACACAGUAAACUAAAGCCUGUGUGACUUUUAAUUGGCCCUUUUUUGCUUUGUUGUUGAGAUUUUCUAGUUUUUGUGUUCCAUCAUGUGAAUGUCUCAACUUAAUGUUCCUUUUACAUCCAAACUCACAUUGGGUGAUUGUGGCGUCUGAUUAUUACAGUUUUUGGGCUGGAGGUAGAGAAUCAGGGAUAAACCACAAAUCAAACCACAAUUUUUAUUUUUGUCCACUAUGUUUGUGUGUUCCACCACAAAAUGAUCAUUCUGGUUAAUAACAUUCCGUCUAAGCUGUGUGAUGUAACAAUAUUUAUAAUCUUUAGUUGUCAUAAAAAUGUCUUUUGAUAGCGGUUAGAUUUGACUCCGUAGUGUUUCGCUAACUCCACAGUUAACAAGCUAGGCUAGACUAGUCACGUUGUUAGCCUACUGAACAGCUGGCUAUUUCCACUGUUAUUUCUCUUUGCUGUUAGCCUUUGAAUCAACAUUGAUGACUUUGGCGAAUAAAACUGACAGGUAAUUAAAUUUGUGCAUCAUUUCUUUUUUGGUUUCAUUUCUAUUAUUCUGCUCCAGAAAAAAAAACGACAGAAAACCGAAGAAAUGGUCAAAAACAGAAGUUGCAAUGACAUUCCUGUCAGCGCAGUGUGUAUGUAAACUUCUGAUCACAACAGAGAAUGUGGGUUAAGGCCUGAGUUGAGUAGGGCUUGAUGCAGAUCAGGUGUGAUUUUCAGUAUUAGUUUGCGAGGGAUGAAUGAAUUGGGCUACUAGUAUGUAAGCCAGGGUUAUUCCCAGUCAACCUAGCUCUUGGUGUACUUGGACAAGACACUUCAUCUACAAUCUCCCAGUCCUAGACCAGCUGGCCAAUAG